rnacentral:lncRNA from 1 species
CGACAAGAUCCUCGUGGCAAUCAUUCUCUCUUUUCCUAGGAAGGACGCUAUCAAGGAAGUCAACCUGUAGUUUUCCUUUGUUUGACUUAAUCAAAUUCCAGGACAAAUCCUGAUUCCCUGAAGCCCAGAGGCCCUCGAGGAUCCAAGAUGGCGCGCUACAAUGACUUUGCCUUUUGAUGUGGAUCAUGGCCUGCCCUAGAAGUGCCUGAGAUGACUUGUCCUGUGGCCUGGAUGUUCCUGCUACUGGAGCUUUCAUGACUACUUACAUUAGAGAUCCACCUCGACCUGCUCCUGCCAUCCUCUAGUAAAUGGAAGACCCAGGACUCAGACCUUCCAAAGCAGGGAUGCUCCUCAUCCUCUUAUCUGUCGCCCUGGAACUUCACUCCUUCAGGGAACCAUUAAAUGGUAGUACACCCCAUUCCUGGACUUCCCAUCACUGGACGUGCUUAUGGAACCAAAAAGAUGGAGAUGGAAAAAGGCAUUGGAUUUCUGAAACCAAAAAGACACUUUCUGGUCACUAGAAUCUCCCUUCAAACUACUCAUCUGUAUGAGGUAGGAGAAUCAAUACACUUUCCCUACAUUCCGUUGGGUUGACCACUCCCUCAGGAAGCACAAGCUCAAAAGCUGACAACCUCUUUCCACUUUGUGCUUCUGAGAAGAUGAUGGACCCUUUUCUGGAGAUGGACAUGUCCAGGUGUAGAGAUAACUGGUGAUA